CCCUUAGAUGUCCGGGGCCGCACGCGCGCUACACUGAAGGAAUCAGCGUGACUUUCUCCCUGACCCGAAAGGGUUGGGAAACCCGUUGAAUCUCCUUCGUGAUAGGGAUUGGGGCUUGAAAUUGUUCCCCAUGAACGAGGAAUUCCCAGUAAGCGCGAGUCAUAAGCUCGCGUUGAUUACGUCCCUGCCCUUUGUACACACCGCCCGUCGCUACUACCGAUUGAACGGUUUAGUGAGGGCCUCGGAUUGGUCUCGGCCCGCUCUUUACCGAGCGGCGCCGUUGGUCGAGAAGACGCUCGAACUUGAUCGUUUAGAGGAAGUAAAAGUCGUAACA
rnacentral:rRNA from 1 species